UACGUAGGUGGCAAGCGUUGUUCGGAAUUACUGGGCGUAAAGCGCGCGUAGGCGGCUCUUCAAGUCAGGCGUGAAAGCCCCGAGCUUAACUCGGGAACUGCGUUUGAUACUGUCGAGCUAGAGUGUGGAAGGGGCGAUUGGAAUUCCGUGUGUAGCGGUGAAAUGCGUAGAUAUACGGAGGAACACCAGAGGCGAAGGCGGAUCGCUGGGCCAACACUGACGCUGAUGUGCGAAAGCUAGGGGAGCAAACGGG
rnacentral:rRNA from 1 species